rnacentral:tRNA from 1 species
GCCUGGGUGGCUAAGUUGGUUGGGCAUCUGGCUUCAGCUCAGGUCAUAAUCUCGUGGUUUGUGGGUUCGAGCCCCACUUCAGGCU